rnacentral:rRNA from 1 species
UGGGGAAUAUUGCACAAUGGGCGAAAGCCUGAUGCAGCAACGCCGCGUGAGGGAAGACGGUCUUCGGAUUGUAAACCUUUGUCCUUGGUGACGAAAAGAAUGACGGUAGCCGAGGAGGAAGCCACGGCUAACUACGUGCCAGCAGCCGCGGUAAUACGUAUGGAGCAAGCGUUAUCCGGAUUUACUGGGUGUAAAGGGAGUGUAGGCGGCUUUGCAAGUCAGAUGUGAAAGCCCGGGGCUCAACCCCGGGACUGCAUUUGAAACUGUGAAGCUGGAGUGUCGGAGAGGUAAGUGGAAUUCCUAGUGUAGCGGUGAAAUGCGUAGAUAUUAGGAGGAACACCGGUGGCGAAGGCGGCUUUCUGGACUGAAACUGACGCUGAGGCACGAAAGCGUGGGGAGCAAACAGGAUUAGAUACCCUGGUAGU